NNNNNUCCAUUGCACUGGGGACCUACUGAGUCCUGCGAUUUCCCCGCAGGGGGGAAACUUGACUGCAUAAUUUGAGUUGGUGGGGGAUUGAGUCUGCGCUUUCCCCCA
rnacentral:snRNA from 1 species